rnacentral:lncRNA from 1 species
GUAGCGCAUGCCAGCUCAGGAUGCCUUGUGGGUAAGAACGCAUGCGCAAAUGAAACCCGCCGCUGGUCUCCUGGGCUCCUCGCUGUGGGCAAAGCCCGUUAAUGCCUCCAGGGUUGCUACAGAGAGGGAGAAAUUGAGACUCUGCGGUUAUUGGGAGGUCCUUAAUGUCACCCUUGGGGAUCCUAGUGUUUCGAUUCUCGUUCUUGUUAUUAUUAAGUAAAAUAAGGGUCCUUCGAAAACAGGCCCUGGCGUACAGUGCCCGUCCAGCUACAACCCAGGUGCCUAAUGGGACAGGACGGAGGGGACCGCAAGAUCGCACACGCUGCUCAGAAUGACGCACAAUUUAAAUCUUACGAGUUGUUUAUUUCUGGAAUUUUCCACUUCAUAUAUUUUAAAUGAUUUUUAAAUAGUUUCUUUUUCCAUUUAGUAGAUUUGAACUGCAGUUGAUCGUGGGUAACUGAAACCAGGGAAAGCAAAGCCGCGGUGUGUGUGUGGGGGGGCCGCUGUGCCCGAAACCGGGAGCCUGCGAACAGAUCUUGAGCCUGACGCAGUGCCUCUCGCCUAUAAUCCCAUCCACUUGGGAGGGUCCCAAGCCGCCCGCCAGGCUGGGCCAUGUAGUGAGACCCUGUCUCAAAAUAAAAAGGGCUGGGGAUGUAGCUCAGUGGGAAAGCGUCCCCAGGUUCAUUCCCUAGUAACAAAACAGGCAGAUGCGGGACGGGGGAGAGGGGAGAACGCAAUAUUCUAUUUGGGAGGCCAGAAUUCUGCAAAGUGUCAACAGGGUUGACUCCUCCCUGAGGCUCUGAACGACUAUCUGUCCCUUGCCUCUCCCUCCUGGCUUUUCUGGUGAUUGUCAGCGAUCCUUGUUCCUCAGCUUGUAGAUGCGUCACUCUGAUCACUGCCUCUUCACACCUCCGUCUUCUCUGUUUCUCCUCUCCUUUUCUUUUAAGGACACUCCUUUGUCUCAUUAAACCCACCCUAAAUCCAGAGCAAUCUCAUCUCUAGGUCCUUGUUUCACUGCAAAGACCCCAUUUUAAUUAAGAUCAUAUUCACAAGUACCAGAACAUCAGGAUUUGGAUAUAUCACUCAACCCAAGUAUUAGCUAUGUAGCUUUUUUUUUUUUAAUAGUUAAUUUCUUCAAGGUGAGCACAAAUGUACAGGUGUCUCUUGGCAUCCACAAAAUUGGUUCCAGGACCCCGUGGAGAUACCAAAAUCCAGGAUGCUCAAAUCCUUUAUGUAAAAUGGUGUUGUAUUUACACAGAACCUACACACAUCCUCCUGUAGACUCUUAAUCAUCUCUAUUGGGCCUAACACAAUGUAAAAGCUAUGUAAAUAGCUUUUAUAUUGUGUUGUGGAAGGAAUAAUUGGGGGGAGCCUGUACAUCUUAAAUUUUUUUUCUCAAAUUUUUGGUUAUUAUUUUAGUUGUAGAUGAACACAAUACCUUUAUUUUACUUGUAUGUGGUGCUGAUCGAACCCAGUGCCUCACACAUGGUAGGCAAGCACUCCACCACUGAGCCACAACCUCAGCCCCUCAAAUAUUUUUGACCUGUGUUUGGUUAAUCCAUGGAGGCGGAACCUGCAGAUGGGAUUGAAGUUGACACCCUUGGGGGUACCUAACUUCCUAGGAGAGACUCACUUGGGUGCCCAUGGAAAGAUCCAUCCUUGGCCUAAUGCUUUGAUCUUCAGGCCUGUAAAUGUGCACUAGGGGUCCCUGUCCUAGCCUUCUGAGCCUCAGGACUGGCUGCAGAUCAUUUUCUUUACACACCCAGGACCAGUAGCUUCCAGUUGAAAGAAACCUUUGUCUCUGAGGCAGAUUGGAGACUUUUUUUUUUUUUGAGGGGGUACUGGGAAUUCAACUCAGGCACUCGACCACUGAGCCACAUCCCCAGCCCUAUUUUGUAUUUUAUUUAGAGACAGGGUCUCACUGAGUUGUUUAAGGCCUCGCCAUUGCUGAGGCUGGCUUUGAACCUGAGGUCCUCCUGCCUCAGCCUCCCAAGCUGCUGAGAUUACAGGGUUGCGUUACUGCGCCCCGCCUGAUACUUGACUUCUUAAUGAAAGAUGGCCCUGUACUAGGCCUCUGAGAUCUAGGAAGACUAGAACAGGAAUCCACAUACCUAGUUGCCUUCCACCAGAGGGCUUGGGGCACUAAAAUCUUCCCUCUUUUUAAGGGGAGAAGGAACUCUGCUAGGACAGAGCUUUGAAGCUCAGACGUGUUCCUCCUACGAGCAGGGUUACUUGGCUGAUGGAUCAAAAGAGAAAGCAGAGAGCCCCCAGAAUUCCUGGACCAACAGCGGGCCUCCCUGCAGUUUGCAGAAUGAAGACAACAUCCAGAUGGAAGGAGAAAAAAACAGGAAUUCCGCCAUGCCUGAAGCCAGUCUACCUGAUCUUCGCUGUUCUUUGAGUCAUGAAAUUUUCUUCUUUGCUUAGGCCAGUUUGAGACAAAUUUUCUAUCAAAACCCACAAAAAAAUCCCAGCAAUGGUAAAUGGCAGGAAAAGCGAAAACACAGGGUUGGAGAAUGUCAAGUCCACUCAGGGGCAGAAGGAGGACCUCGGGGGUGACCCUGGCUGGAUCAAGAGUGUGGAGUCAAUUUCCUCAAGCAACUGGCACCAAAGGGAAUUUGGGGGGAAGAUGUUGGCAGAAUUCAGGCAAUGACUUCGUGAAGUAAACAGAAUUUCUGAAAUCAGAAGACGACAAGACUGGAGGUCCAGUUUUGGAGCACCUGACCACGAAGCCUAUGUCUUAAGUUGGGGUUUCCCCUACCCCCAGAAGCCAAUGCUGAGGUAAAGACUCAAGGGCAGGGCUGGGGUGUAGCUCGGUGGUAGAGCGCUUGCCUAGCGCAUGUGAGGCCCUGGGUUGGAUCCUAUGCACACAUAAAAAUGGAUAAAUAAAAUAAAGGUGUAAAAAGUGU